rfam:Dipodomys ordii contig_1120, whole genome shotgun sequence.
GUGGUGGCUCAGUGGUAAAACGCUUGCCUUGCAAGCAUGAGACCCUGGGUUCGAUUCCUCAGCACCACA